rnacentral:rRNA from 1 species
CGCAAGCCUAAUGCAGCCAUGCCGCGUGUAUGAAGAAGGCCUUCGGGUUGUAAAGUACUUUCAGCAGUGAGGAAGGUGGGUAUGUUAAUAGCAUAUUCAUUUGACGUUAGCUGCAGAAGAAGCACCGGCUAACUCCGUGCCAGCAGCCGCGGUAAUACGGAGGGUGCGAGCGUUAAUACGGAAUUACUGGGCGUAAAGCGCAUGCAGGUGGUUUGUUAAGUCAGAUGUGAAAGCCCCGGGGCUCAACCUCGGAAUUGCAUUUGAAACUGACAAACUAGAGUACUGUAGAGGGGGUAGAAUUUCAGGUGUAGCGGUGAAAUGCGUAGAGAUCUGAAGGAAUACCGGUGGCGAAGGCGGCCCCCUGGACAGAUACUGACACUCAGAUGCGAAAGCGUGGGGAGCAAACAGGAUUAGACUACCCUGGUAG